GAUGAACGCUGGCGGCGUGCCUAAUACAUGCAAGUCGAGCGAACAGACGAGGAGCUUGCUCCUCUGACGUUAGCGGCGGACGGGUGAGUAACACGUGGAUAACCUACCUAUAAGACUUGGAUAACUUCGGGAAACCGGAGCUAAUACCGGAUAAUAUAUUUAACCGCAUGGUUCAAUAGUGAAAGACGGUUUUGCUGUCACUUAUAGAUUGAUCCGCGCCGCAUUAGCUAGUUGGUAAGGUAACGGCUUACCAAGGCAACGAUGCGUAGCCGACCUGAGAGGGUGAUCGGCCACACUGGAACUGAGACACGGUCCAGACUCCUACGGGAGGCAGCAGUAGGGAAUCUUCCGCAAUGGGCGAAAGCUUGACGGAGCAAAGCCGCGUGAGUGAUGAAGGUCUUCGGAUCGUAAAACUCUGUUAUUAGGGAAGAACAAAUGUGUAAGUAACUAUGCACGUCUUGACGGUACCUAAUCAGAAAGCCACGGCUAACUACGUG
rnacentral:rRNA from 1 species